AUUGAACGCUGGCGGCAGGCCUAACACAUGCAAGUCGAACGAGUGGCGGACGGGUGAGUAAUGGCUGGGAAACUGCCCGAUGGAGGGGGAUAACUACUGGAAACGGUAGCUAAUACCGCAUACCAUCGGAUGUGCCCAGAUGGGAUUAGCUAGUAGGUGGGGUAAAGGCUCACCGAGGCGACGAUCCCUACCUGGUCUGAGAGGAUGACCAGCCACACUGGAACUGAGACACGGUCCAGACUCCUACGGGAGGCAGCAGUGGGGAAUAUUGCACAAUGGGCGCAAGCCUGAUGCAGCCAUGCCGCGUGUAUGAAGAAGGCCUUCGGGUUGUAAAGUACUUUCCGCGGGGAGGCGUUACCCGCAGAAGAAGCACCGGCUAACUCCGUGCCAGCCGCCGCGGUAAUAC
rnacentral:rRNA from 1 species